GACGAACGCUGGCGGCGUGCUUAACACAUGCAAGUCGAACGAUGACGACCGAGCUUGCUCGGUCUGAUUAGUGGCGAACGGGUGAGUAACACGUGAGCAACCUGCCCUUCACUCUGGGAUAACCUCGGGAAAUCGGGGCUAAUACCGGAUAUGAGCUCCUGUCGCAUGGCGGGGGUUGGAAAGUUUUUCGGUGAAGGAUGGGCUCGCGGCCUAUCAGUUUGUUGGGGGGGUAGUGGCUCACCAAGGCGAUGACGGGUAGCCGGCCUGAGAGGGCGACCGGCCACACUGGGACUGAGACACGGCCCAGACUCCUACGGGAGGCAGCAGUGGGGAAUAUUGCACAAUGGGCGAAAGCCUGAUGCAGCGACGCCGCGUGAGGGAUGACGGCCUUCGGGUUGUAAACCUCUUUCAGCAGGGAAGAAGCGAAAGUGACGGUACCUGCAGAAGAAGCGCCGGCUAACUACGUG
rnacentral:rRNA from 1 species